rnacentral:lncRNA from 1 species
UCUGUGGUGGUGGAAUGUUGUAACAGCCCGGAAACGACGCUCUAGAAGAUUCCUCUUUUAUUCCGUUGUCGCCUUAUAAUUUAUUUGUUUGUCACAUUCAUCACCGCAUUAUGCGCAUCAUCCGCAUUGCAUCGACACUCUCUUUUCGUUUGUUUUCAAACUUGCAUCCGUUGUUAGUUGCCGGUUCUCUUCAUUUUUGUUGUUGACCGUUUCGAGACCAACCACACAAGCAC